AAACCAGCACCUCAAGUGGUCAGGAUGAUUAUUGGGCCUAAAGCAUCCGUAGCCGGCUCUGUAAGUUUUCGGUUAAAUCUGUACGCUCAACGUACAGGCUGCCGGGAAUACUGCAGAGCUAGGGAGUGGGAGAGGUAGACGGUACUCGGGAGGAAGGGGUAAAAUCCUGUGAUCUCUCGAUGACCACCUGUGGCGAAGGCGGUCUACCAGAACACGACCGACGGUGAGGGAUGAAAGCUGGGGGAGCAAACCGGAUUAGAAACCCCAGUAGUCC
rnacentral:rRNA from 1 species